CACGAGAGAAUUAAAGGGAGGAAGGAGCAAGAAUAUAAAUUAAUCAUCUACAUGUUUUGAAUGUUUGCUGAUCCAAACAUCUGCUUCUUUCCUCUUCCCUGCUUCUCUCUUCUGCCUGCCUUGUACUGAGCUUAUAUCAGUUACCCACUUAACACUUUCCUUCUACUCAUUCUGAACACUUAUACUACUGAGUAAUUCAUGUAUCCCAUUGGAAAAAAAAAAUUUUCCCCUAAGUAGAGAUCUAAGUUUCUGAUAAAUGUUUUUAAUUUUUUUCUUAUUCCAAGAUGUUUCUAAUUAACACCUGGCAGUUUUUAUUUUAUGAUCUUGCUACCUAAUGGCAUCAGGUACAUUGCAAUAAGAUAAAAGGUUCAAACAAAACAAACAGAAUUGAACAUUUCUUAAACUUAGUACUUGUCACAUUUAAAUGCAUCAUAUUAACAGAAGUAUUGAAUUAUAAUAGAAAAAGUAAUGUAAGAAAGGUAUUCUUUAAAUAAGAAUGUUUAUUCAUUGUCUUUUUCUAUUCCUAGGAAUCUGUCCUAUUGGGAAAGUCACUGCGACAUGAUUAAUGGUACAGAUGCAGCCUCAUUUCCACCUUUUGUUGAGAAAAGCCAGGUAUUGCAGUUCUUUUCUUCUGAUAUUUGCAGGUAAGACAGAUACUGAAGUAUGUCUGAGUCAGACCCUAGGUGACAAAAUGCAGACCAAGAAACUUAAACACAGCAUAGGAAAUUCAUCAUGUUUAUUAACUAACUCUUUGCAAAAUGUUCUUCUGCAUCCUCCAAUUUUUAAUAGUACAAAUCAUUUUUUUUGCCAUUUCUAUCUAAGCAAGAACCAUUUUGCCUUUUAAAAACUAAACUAGUAGUCUAUUAACGAUCAAGUCCAGAAGGGCGUGCCCAAUCUUUCUAAAGACAUACAGAGAAGAUGAUGCAAAUGUAACAGAACUGUGUUAAUGUGCUCUGCUCAGAUUUGUGGGGCCCAGUAGAUAACACACAAGCACUGGAGCCUUUACCACUACCCUUGAGCCCAAGCUCUGUCCCUAAAGACUGUAUGCUUGUGGGUAGGCAUUUAACAUAUCUGAAUUUUUUUCUUAUCUGUACAAUUUAAGACAGCAGUAUUUCUUCAUAUACGUGUAUCUGGGGAUAAGAAAAAAAUGUGUAUUGAACCCUAUGAUAGACACUUGGUAAACGAUGGAAAUGUACCAGGUAUAUAUCCAGCAUGUAUAUGCAUACACUCCAGUGAGUGGUCUUUCUUUCCAGGAUUAAUUAAGCCGUGAAAGAAACUAUUUCAUUUAAACUGAUCACAAAGUAUUUGAAGGAAGUCCUAUAAAUAUUUACUCUAUUGGAUAAAUUGCCUGUGAGAAGUAACUUGGGUAUAAAUAAACAUGGUACUUCACAAACAAGAAUAGUUCAUGCUUGGCUAUUGAGUUUUAGUAUGUGUUAAAAUUUCCCAAUCACUUUUUUUCUAAGAAUGAAACAAGAAUUUAAAAGAGUAUAUGAUGUUUCUAAGUUAAAACAAGAAUAAGAAAAAAUGAAUCUCCAGAAUGUAAGUUCAGGUUCCUGGAAUGCAGCUCUUUUUUCUCUGUAUUUAGGUCAAUCUAUGCUGUAUUUGAAUCCGACGUUAAUCUGAAAGGAAUCCCUGUGUAUAGAUUUGUUCUUCCAUCCAAGGCCUUUGCCUCUCCAGUUGAAAACCCAGACAACUAUUGUUUCUGCACAGAAAAAAUUAUCUCAAAAAAUUGUACAUCAUAUGGUGUGCUAGACAUCAGCAAAUGCAAAGAAGGGAGACCUGUGUACAUUUCACUUCCUCAUUUUCUGUAUGCAAGUCCUGAUGUUUCAGAACCUAUUGAUGGAUUAAACCCAAAUGAAGAAGAACAUAGGACAUACUUGGAUAUUGAACCUAUAACUGGAUUCACUUUACAAUUUGCAAAACGGCUGCAGGUCAACCUAUUGGUCAAGCCAUCAAAAAAAAUUCAGUGAGUCUCUUGAAAAUGGUUAUUUUGAUAUGAUCUGUAGUAUCGUAGUAUCUUCUUGUAAGAACAUGAGUAAAUCUAUGUAAGUAAGUGGAAAUAACAUCUGAUAUCAACUUAUCUUUAGCUUAACGUCACCAAUCAUUAUUAAAUGCUUAUGACAAAUUUCACAGAUUUUGGAAUGGUUUUAUGGUUUUAUUUGAGCAUUUGAUAGCAUCUCUUAUUUUGUUAGCUGCCCAAAUAUUUCUAUGACAAUAAUUUUUGGAAUUCAUAUUUCAGUUCCCCGAGAAUUUAUUGAAAGGAAAAAUCCACACUUGGGAAAAAAAUCAAUGUGAUUAGAAGACAUAUAAGAGCAAAGGAAGUCAAAAACAACUAUAUUAAAAUUUAAAUGAGUCAUUACAGGAACAAAAUCAAAUUAGCAACAGCAACUAAUUUAUGAACAUUUAUUUUAAAGUUUGUUAUAUAUAAAUAUUAGUUUAUAUGUUCAUAAUUAUUUUCAACGUAUAUUACAGAGUAUUAAAGAAUCUGAAGAGGAACUAUAUUGUGCCUAUUCUUUGGCUUAAUGAGGUUUGUAUUUGCAGCUGUUAGUCAUUAAAAACAACCUUCUUUGUAUAUAAACAAGCUCUUGAUGUUUCAAAAGAAUGUAUAGUAUUUAAAGCUAUAUGUAUUUCCAUUACCCAUAUGGAUGAGUAUACAUUUAUUUAACCUAUUUGAGAUGAUCCAACUGAACAAAAACAUUUCCUAUCAUUUAAGAUUUUCUUCAAAAAUGCAUCUAUUAAACACAUUUUCUUGUUGUAACAUUUGUCUUAGGACAGUCUAUCCUAUUGCCUGACAAGGUAUUUUUACUGUAAAUCCAUGCAUUGAUAGCUAUAAAAGCAUUGAUAGCUAUAAAAAUAGGAAAAGCAUUGAAUAAGUCUUUGGAGCAAAUGAAACUGUUGACCUUUUGAUAGUUCUGAAGAGCAAAUGAAUCCCAGUACAUUGAAGAGUACCGUACUCUAUCUGACACUUAAUUGCCUUUCUUGACUUGCAAAAGGAAUUCCAUUAACUUGCCUUAUAGAUACUGAUGACUAACACCAAUAGAGGUGUUAGAAAAAAGGGUGAUAGGCAAUUGAAGGGUUUAUUUUGUUUUACUAAUGUACCCAAAUAAUGUUGAUUAUUAACUUGAUUACAGACUGGGACCAUUGGUGAUGAGAAGGCAAACAUGUUCAGAAGUCAAGUAACUGGAAAAAUAAACCUCCUUGGCCUGAUAGAAAUGAUCUUACUCAGUGUUGGUGUGGUGAUGUUUGUUGCUUUUAUGAUUUCAUAUUGUGCAUGCAGAUCGAAAACAAUAAAAUAAACCUGGCUCAAGCACAAACCAAUUUGUGUUGUUCUGAUUCAAUAAUUGGUUUCUGGGUGGCCAAUUCAGAAGAAGAGUGGACAUGCUCAACAAAUCCUAGGCCCUGCAUUCCUGUCAUCCUCAUCCGGGGGAAACACCAUCAUCCCAGUAGCUGCCCUAUUCAACUGCAACAGUCUCCAGGACCAUCAACAUACUGCAUUUCAUGUGCACCAAAUAUUUUGAAAGACAUUUAUAAAUAAUUGGCUUAUGACUCAUAUUUCUCUAUGAAUACCUUCAUACAGCAGGUAUAACUCUUUUCUUUAUGGGCUUAAAUAUUUUGUCACUGAUCCUGCAAAUGGACAUCAUUUUAGCACACUAGCGGUUUAUAUUUUAAGGACCUUCAUUCUCUGUUCUGCACCUCUUCUGGAAAUUGAGUAAAUUUUGCUUUUUUUUUUUUUAACUCAGUUGCAACUUACGCUUGGCAUCUUCAGAAUGCUUUUCUAGCAUUAAGAGAUGUAAAUGAUAAAGGAAUUAUUGUAUGAAAUAUUACAAAGCGUAGACUAUGCAUUGUUAUUCAUUAUAAUAUUUUUUGCUAUCAUAAUCGCCUCAUAAAGACAGGUUUCAGCCAUUAAAAUAUGUUCUUCCUUAAAUUCCUGUGCUUUUUCUAGUUCCUGUUGUCAUAAAAUGUUUAUCCUAAUUUUCUCUCUGAAGUAUAUUUUAUCUGAAUCCACAUUUCUUUAUAAAUCCAUAGUCCUUGCUGAAAUAUGCUUUCUAAAUUUCUACCACUUUGUUCUAGACUAAUUUUUUAAGCUAAUUGGAUGAAGAACAAAAAGACAUUUGGUUUCAUCCUUUACAGCAGUAGGACAAUUGCAAAGGUUUUUCCUUUUUCAUAAGGAGACACAUUAAUAGGUAACUCUGCUUUCUUGAGCAGGGGUUCACUUAUUCUGAAAGCAUUAGUUCUCCUAAAAAGCUCCAGCAUAGAAAGGGAAGACAAACCAAAUUCUAUCUAUCUUGUGUUUUACCCACAGAAGGAUACAGGACAAAGGAAUAGUAACUGGCCUGUUUGGAUACUAAAAUUGAAAAUAACUUUUAGCCUCCUUAUGAUAGCCGCCAGAGUAAAUGUUGAGCAUUACUAUAGAAAAGCCACAAACCAAGAAUCUACCUGUUUGGAAAGAUCUUUUGCAUCUCUGAAGGUGCUUAAAGCAUACUUAGUGCCUUUCCUUUUAACUGGGAAGAUAAAAGUAUCUGUCCAAGAUAUUAAUAUGUAAGAUAACAUUGUAGACAUGUUCUUCUGAUAAUACAAGGUUUAUUCUAUUUGCAUUAGGACAUUUGUGGACAUGUCCAUCUAAUAUAAAGGAAAGUUUUUUAAUCAUUGAGACAUGUAGGGCUGAGUUAUAUAAUGUAGAAACUUCUAAAGAUAAUUGGAUGAGAAUAUACAUAUUGACCUGUAUAUUAUGACUAAUCAUGACUCAGAUCUUAAUACAGGGAUGAUCUCAUAGCAUUUAGAUAUCAGAAAAGGUUUUGACCUAUAUGUCUUCAAUAUUGUUUGAAUACAUGUAUAAUCUUUAUCAUUCCUCAGUGUUUCAUUUCUCAAAUUCUGUAAAAGGAAUAUAAGAGGAAAGACAAUUCAUAUACAAAGACAACGAGAUUAAAAAUAUGCAGUAGGAAAAAUAAUUACUUAAGGGGAGAUUUUUUUACAUGAAAUCUGGGCUUUGGAUGUGUGUGUGUGUGCGUGCACACAUAUGCACUGUGGUGGGAGUGGGGCAAUUUGGGGAAUAUGUUACAUGUGUGACUUUGUUUCGCCCUGGCGAAGUGAAUGUUGUUCAGAAAGGGUAAAUGUUUGGACACUUGCAAUUGCUCGUGGAUGAAUUUGUAUGUUUUAGUCAUAGAAAAAUUGUACCCUUUGAUAGAAGCACAUUUUCUUUCCAAAGUUGGUUAUUAACCACAGAAUUAUAGCAGGUAUUCAUAACUUAAGUUUGAAAAUCAAUAGCAUCUGCAAAUGGAUUAACAGAUUAGAGAAUCAACAGCAUCGGAAAAUAGGUUAAUGCAUAUUGCUUCUAACAAGUGCAUGAAGAAAUAGAAGAAGCUAUGUAGCUUUCAGUUCUGACAGAAAAGGGUGAAGGAGGGUAUCAUUUCAAGAAAAAAAAAUAGCUAUGCACACAAUGGUUAUCUCUGAAAAUAUUUGUAUUAAGAUGUAUAUACAUGUCCAGGCAUGGUGGCUCAUGCCUGUAAUCCCAGCACUUUGGGAGGCAGGUGGAUCACGAGGUCAGGAGAUCAAGACCAUCCUGGCCAACAUGGUGAAACCUCAUCUCUACUAAAAAUACAAAAAUGAGCGGGGUGUGGUGGCCCAUGCCUGUAGUCCCAGCUGCUCGGGAGACUGAGGCAGGAGAAUCUCUUGAGCCUGGGAAGCAGAGGUUGCAGUGAACCGAGAUCGCGUCACUGCACUCCAGCCUGGUGACAGAGCGAGAUUCCAUCUCAAAAAAAAAAAAGUAUGCACGUACAAAUUUCUUAACCUGUUAUCAAUGUCUGAGCUACAUAAUUAUCUUUCUAGUUGGAGUUUGUUUUAGGUGUGUACCAACUGACAUUUCAGUUUUUCUGUUUGAAGUCCAAUGUAUUAGUGACUCUGUGGCUGCUCUCUUCACCUGCCCCUUGUGGCCUGUCUACAAUUCUAAAUGGAUUUUGAACUCAAUGUCGUCGCUUCUGGUUUCCUGCAUAUACCAACAGCAUUACCUAUGACUUUUUUUUUCCUGAGCUAUUUUCACUGAGCUGAGCUAAUGAACUAAAACUGAGUUAUGUUUUAUAUUUGUAUCAAAUACAUAAAAGGAAUACUGCUUUUUCCUUUUGUGGCUCAAAGGUAGCUGCAUUUUAAAAUAUUUGUGAAAAUAAAAACUUUUGUUAUUAGAAAAAUGA
rnacentral:sRNA from 1 species